rnacentral:rRNA from 1 species
GAUGAACGCUAGCGGCAGGCUUAACACAUGCAAGUCGAGGGGUAUUUAUCUUCGGAUAGAGAGACCGGCGCACGGGUGCGUAACGCGUAUGCAAUCUACCUUUUACAGAGGGAUAGCCCAGAGAAAUUUGGAUUAAUACCUCAUAGUAUAUAGACUCGGCAUCGAGAUUAUAUUAAAGUCACAACGGUAAAAGAUGAGCAUGCGUCCCAUUAGCUAGUUGGUAAGGUAACGGCUUACCAAGGCUACGAUGGGUAGGGGUCCUGAGAGGGAGAUCCCCCACACUGGUACUGAGACACGGACCAGACUCCUACGGGAGGCAGCAGUGAGGAAUAUUGGACAAUGGGCGCAAGCCUGAUCCAGCCAUGCCGCGUGCAGGAUGACGGUCCUAUGGAUUGUAAACUGCCUUUAUACGAGAAGAAACACUGCUACGUGUAGCAGCUUGACGGUAUCGUAAGAAUAAGGAUCGGCUAACUCCGUG